GGGGCUCUCCCUGACCUCUACCAGGGAGUCAUAAGGGCCCAGAACAGCAAAGGAACACUGGAAAGAAGAGCAGAAAAGGUGCUACUGAGUUGUCUGGUUACCAGAUUGUCAGCACUAAAGAUGAGAGGUCUUUGUUUUCUUCUUGCUGCCAAAUGUUAUCAUUCGAGAUAACCACACAGCAUUAAGUGCACCAUAACACCACAGCAAGAAUCAAGUGCACAUUUACUUCACAGACAACUCCUUUGGCGUCUUUCAUUUGGGUUACAGAGCUUAAUGAGCUACAAAGAGAUAUCAUCAAUGCUAGAUGAAAAAUCUCAAAGCCUUCAACUGCAGUCUAAAUACUAGUGUAAGGCAAUCCUUUGCUCUCUGCAAAUUUCUGUGGGAAAGCAUUGCUGCUAGAGGGAAGAGGGACUGUUAAAAUGAUUAUUGGAGAGUACACGUACAAGGCAGUGGACAGAUCUCUGCUAUGUCACACAGGAAAAUGUCUUUCUACUUGCUGCUGACAACACACUUAAGGAGUGAAAUUACCAGGAGUGGAGGGAUGCAGAAGACUUAAGGCCCCUGUUGGUAUUGACUCAUGCUGUGUGUACAAAAAAUCACAUGCUAGUGAAUUGUUGAACCCCUGUUCUGCCUUCCUCCUGCCCUCCCUUUUAUAAAGGUCUUCCUACCUCUACUAAUUUUCAGUUGUAUAUAUAUUUUUUUAAUGGAAAAUUUGCCAUUCUCUAUUAAACUAACGUGACUAAAAUGGAAAU